GACGAACGCUGGCGGCGUGCUUAACACAUGCAAGUCGAACGGAAAGGCCCUGCUUUUGUGGGGUGCUCGAGUGGCGAACGGGUGAGUAACACGUGAGUAACCUGCCCUUGACUUUGGGAUAACUUCAGGAAACUGGGGCUAAUACCGGAUAGGAGCUCCUGCUGCAUGGUGGGGGUUGGAAAGUUUCGGCGGUUGGGGAUGGACUCGCGGCUUAUCAGCUUGUUGGUGGGGUAGUGGCUUACCAAGGCUUUGACGGGUAGCCGGCCUGAGAGGGUGACCAGCCACAUUGGGACUGAGAUACGGACCAGACUCCUACGGGAGGCAGCAGUGGGGAAUAUUGCACAGUGGGCGGAAGCCUGAUGCAGCAACGCCGCGUGCGGGAUGACGGCCUUCGGGUUGUAAACCGCUUUCGCCUGUGACGAAGCGUGAGUGACGGUAAUGGGUAAAGAAGCACCGGCUAACUACGUG
rnacentral:rRNA from 1 species